AUCUUGCGCAAUGGGCGAAAGCCUGACGCAGCAACGCCGCGUGCGGGAAGAAGGCCCUCGGGUUGUAAACCGCUUUCAGAAGGAACGAAACUGACGGUACUUUCAGAAGAAGGUGCGGCCAACUACGUGCCAGCAGCCGCGGUGACACGUAGGCACCAAGCGUUGUCCGGAUUUAUUGGGCGUAAAGAGCUCGUAGGCGGUUCGAUAAGUCGGGUGUGAAAUCUUUGGGCUUAACCCAAAGCGUGCACUCGAUACUGUUGUGACUAGAGUUCGGUAGGGGAGUGGGGAAUUCCUAGUGUAGCGGUGAAAUGCGCAGAUAUUAGGAGGAACACCGGUGGCGAAGGCGCCACUCUGGGCCGAAACUGACGCUGAGGAGCGAAAGCGUGGGUAGCAAACAGG
rnacentral:rRNA from 1 species